GGUGCCUGUGGUGCGGACUGAUACUCCCCUCGCCGGUGUCAUGGGCAAAGCCCCCCAGCUUUGCGCCUUGGUUCAAGGCCAGGAUGGCGUUG
rnacentral:tRNA from 1 species